ensembl:miRNA
GGAUCUUACUGUGUAGUUCAGGCUGGCCUUGAGCUCACUUUGUAGCCCAGGCUGGCCUUGAACUCACAAUGAUCCUCCUGCCUCAGCCUGCUGAGUGCUAGGAUUACAGGCAUGAGCCACCAUGCCCG